UAUGGUUCAGAAUAUUAUAUAACUGUAGUUUCAGAUAAACGUUUAUCUUUCCUAUCUUUGUUUCUCCAUUUGCCAGAACUGAUUCUGAUACGUGGCAAAGGAGAUUCCAAAAUUAAUGCAGAUAAACGCCCGAGGCCAGUUUACCCUUUCACAAUAUCAGACCUCUGAAGAGUGGAACAUGAGCCCCCUCUGAAGAGUGGAAAAUGGGCCCCCUUCUGACCAGAAUAAAGGGAAGAAUUUAAAAUUAUAAA